GAUGAACGCUGGCGGCGUGCCUAAUACAUGCAAGUCGAGCGAACAGAUAAGGAUCUUGCUCCUUUGACGUUAGCGGCGGACGGGUGAGUAACACGUGUGUAACCUACCUAUAAGACUGGAAUAACUCCGGGAAACCGGGGCUAAUGCCGGAUAACAUUUAGAACCGCAUGGUUCUAAAGUGAAAGAUGGUUUUGCUAUCACUUAUAGAUGGACCCGCGCCGUAUUAGCUAGUUGUUAAGGUAACGGCUUACCAAGGCAACGAUACGUAGCCGACCUGAGAGGGUGAUCGGCCACACUGGAACUGAGACACGGUCCAGAGUCCUACGGGAGGCAGCAGUAGGGAAUCUUCCGCAAUGGGCGAAAGCCUGACGGAGCAACGCCGCGUGAGUGAUGAAGGUCUUCGGAUCGUAAAACUCUGUUAUUAGGGAAGAACAAAUGUGUAAGUAACUGUGCACGUCUUGACGGUACCUAAUCAGAAAGCCACGGCUAACUACGUG
rnacentral:rRNA from 1 species